CCGCGUUGGAUUAGCUAGUUGGUGGGGUAAAGGCCUACCCCCGCGACGAUCCAUAGCUGGUCUGAGAGGAUGAUCAGCCACAUUGGGACUGAGACACGGCCCAAACUCCUACGGGAGGCAGCAGUGGGGAAUAUUGGACAAUGGGCGCAAGCCUGAUCCAGCCAUGCCGCGUGAGUGAUGAAGGCCUUAGGGUUGUAAAGCUCUUUCACCGGAGAAGAUAAUGACGGUAUCCGGAGAAGAAGCCCCGGCUAACUUCGUGCCAGCAGCCGCGGUAAUACGAAGGGGGCUAGCGUUGUUCGGAAUUACUGGGCGUAAAGCGCACGUAGGCGGAUAUUUAAGUCAGGGGUGAAAUCCCAGAGCUCAACUCUGGAACUGCCUUUGAUACUGGGUAUCUUGAGUAUGGAACAGGUAAGUGGAAUUCCGAGUGUACAGGUGAAAUUCGUAGAUAUUCGGAGGAACACCAGUGGCAAAAGCGGCUUACUGGUCCAUUACUGACGCUGAGGUGCGAAAACGUGUGGAGCAAACAGGAUUACAUACCCUGGUCUCCCACGCCGUACAGAAUGAGAGUUAGCCGUCCGUCAGUAUACUGUUCGAUGACACACCUAGCGCAUUAAACAUUCCGCCUGGGGAGUACGGUCGCAAGAUU
rnacentral:rRNA from 1 species